rnacentral:misc_RNA from 1 species
CCCUUUUAAAUGACCACCAGAAGGUAUGGAUACCUUUGUAAAUUGGAACUAGGUUUGCUGUUUUAAAGUAGCACUUUAUUUUGAUCAUUUUGAUGUAGUUGUAUGUAAAACUAAAGCAAUUCACUAUUUUGAUUAAUUGUGAGAAUUGGGAAAUGUAUAUUCAAUUUAUGGUUUGUGGUGAAAUAUUAAUAUACUCUUGCACAUAGGAACAUACUGUUGGACAUGCUGAAUGUUCAAAUUAGAUACCAUGUGUUUGGUGGACUGCCUUAAAUUAGGAGCUCAUUUACUUCCAUAUGAUGCAUGUUUUCAAAUGCACUAUCUAUGAGUUGAAACCUGGUCUUACAAGUCCCAUUAAGGAAUUUAGAGCUUUCUCUGUCUAAUUGUGCCAUUUAAAACUGUUAUGUGAUGUAUGGUCAUGAAAAUUGAUUGUUGAGUUGCAUUUUCACUUGUGUUUCAUUUUUCUUAUUUUUAAUAUGUGAAGCAAGCUAGA